AUGCCCGAGGAGACACAGGCUCAGGACCAGCCGAUGUAGGAGGAGGAGGUGGAGACGUUCACCUUCCAGGUGGAAAUUGCCCAGUUGAUGUCACUGAUCACCAACACUUUCUACUUGAAUAAGGAGAUUUUCCUGAGGGAGCUGAUUUCAAACUCGUCCAAUGCCCUGGACAAGAUCAGGUAUGAGAGCUUGACCGAUCCCAGUAAGUUAGACUCUGGGAAAGAGCUGCACAUUAAUGUCAUAUCGAACAAGCAAGAUCGAACCCUCACCAUCGUGGACACCGGCAUUGAGAUGACCAAGGCCGAUUUGAUUAACAACCUGGGCACCAUCGCCAAGUCUGGGACCAAAGCGUUCAUGGAAGCUUUGCAAACUGGCCAUGACUGGCCAGUUUGGUGUCGGGUUUUAUUCAGCCUAUUUGGUGGCUGAGAAAGUGACCAUUAUCACCAAACCUAAGGAUGACGAGCAGUACGCCUGGGAGUCUUCUGCAGGAGGGUCCUUCACAGUGAGGACUGAUAUAGGAGAACCCAUGGGGCGUGGAACAAAGGUUAUUAUGCAUCUGAAAGAAGACCAGACUGAGUACCUGGAGGAAUGGAGAAUAAAGGAGAUUGUGAAGAAGCAUUCUCAGUUCAUUGGCUAUCCCAUCACUCUUUUUGUGGAGAAGGAACAUGAUAAAGAAGUUAGUGAUGAUGAGGCAGAAGAGAAGGAAGACAAAGAGGAAGAGAAGGAGAAAGAAGAAAAGGAGUCUGAUGACAAGCCUGAGAUAGAAGACAUUGGCUCAGAUGAGGAGGAGGAAGAGAAGAAGGACGGGGACAAGAAGAAGAAGAUCAAGGAGAAGUACAUCAAUCAAGAAGAGCUAAACAAGACAAAGCCUAUCUGGACCAGAAAUCCUGAUGACAUCACUAAUGAGGAGUACGGAGAGUUCCACAAGAGCCUGACCAAUGAUUGGGAGGAUCACUUGGCAGUCAAGCAUUUUUCAGUUGAAGGACAGUUGGAAUUCAGAGCCCUUCUUUUUGUCUCAAGACGAGCUCCCUUUGACCUGUUUGAAAACAGAAAGAAGAAGAACAACAUUAAGUUGUAUGUUCUCAGAGUUUUCAUCAUGGAUAACUGUGAGGAGCUAAUCCCUGAAUACCUGAAUUUCAUUAGAGGUGUGGUGGACUCUGAGGAUCUCCCUCUGAACAUUUCCCGUGAGAUGUUGCAACAAAGCAAAAUUUUGAAAGUUAUCAGGAAGAAUUUGGUCAAAAAGUACUUGAACUCUUCACUGAACUGGCAGAAAAUAAAGAGAACUACAAGAAGUUUUAUGAGCAGUUCUCUAAAAAUAUUAAGCUUGGAAUACAUGAAGAUUCUCAGAAUCGGAAGCAGCUUUCAGGGCUGUUGAAGUACUAUACCUCUGCUUCUGGUGAUAAGAUGGUUUUUCUCAAGGACUAUUGCAGAAGAAUGAAGGAAAACCAGAAACACAUCUAUUACAUCACAGGUGAGAUGAAGGACCAGGUAGCCAACUCGGCCUUUGUGGAGCAUCUCUGGAAGCAUGGCUUGGAAGUGAUCUACAUGAUCGAGCCUGUUGAUGAGUACUGUGUGCAGCAGCUGAGGAGUUUGAGGGGAAGACCUUAGUGUCAGUCACCAAGGAGGGCCUGGAACUUCCAGAAGAUGAGGAAGAGAAAAAGAAACAAGAAGAGAAAAAGACAAAAUUUGAAAACCUCUGCAAAAUCAUGAAGGACAUUUUGGAGAGGAAAGUUGAAAAGGUGGUUGUGUGUGUAACUGGUUGGUGACAUCCCCAUGCUGCACUGUCAGAAGCACAUAUGACUGGACAGCAAAUGUGGAACAGAUCAUGAAGGCUCAAGCCCUGAGAGACAACUCAACGGUGGGUUACUCGGCAGCCCAGAAGCACCUGGAGAUCAACCCUGACCAUUCCAUCAUUGAGACCUUGAGGCAAAAGGCAGAGGCUGACAAGAAUGGCAAGUCUGUGAAGGAUCUGAUCAUCCUGCUGUACAAAACAGCUCUCCUGUCUUCUGGCUUCAGUCUAGAGGAUCCCCAGACACAUGCCAACAGGAUCUACAGGAUGGUCAAACAUGGUCUCGGUAUUGAUGAGGAUGACCCCACUGCUGAUGACAGCAGUGCUACGGUCACUGAGGAAAUGCCUCCCCUGGAAGGAGAUGAUGACACGUCCCGCAUGGAAGAAGUAGACUAA